rnacentral:lncRNA from 1 species
CUUAUUUGGAAUUUGUUAAUUUGAGUUGCUUAAGAUAUUAAAAUGGUACCAAGGGUACAAACAAAAAAGUAUAUCAACAAGGAAACAAACAAUCCUCUGAAGCUGUGAAGCUUUUACCCUUUUUUUUUCUGCUUAAAGAAAUAAAACAAAUAUGUCGACGAGUCUGUUACUUGUCUAUCAAAACUAUUUUUGUUUUCAGUCAAUAGUCGAACAUAUUUACGAAGAAAUAUAAAUGUAUAAUCUGUGAAUCGCUGUGUCAAACAUUUAACUUAAUACAGUACAUAUAUAUUAACCGAUAUUAAAAAUGCAAAGUGGUGUGAAUGUUGUAGUUUAUUCUUUGUCGAGAUCGAUGAUAUUUCACUAUGAAUCUAAG